GCAAGUCGAGCGGAAACGAUAGUAGCUUGCUACUAGGCGUCGAGCGGCGGACGGGUGAGUAAUGCUUGGGAAUAUGCCUUAAGGUGGGGGACAACAGUUGGAAACGACUGCUAAUACCGCAUAAUGUCUACGGACCAAAGGAGGGGAUCUUCGGACCUUUCGCCUUUUGAUUAGCCCAAGUGAGAUUAGCUAGUUGGUAAGGUAAUGGCUUACCAAGGCGACGAUCUCUAGCUGGUUUGAGAGGAUGAUC
rnacentral:rRNA from 1 species